ACCCUGGUGGUCCAGUGGUUAGGACUAUGCACUUUGAUUGCUGAAGAUGUGGUUUCAAUCCCUCAUCAGGGAA
rnacentral:tRNA from 1 species